UACGUAGGGCGCGAGCGUUGUCCGGAAUUAUUGGGCGUAAAGAGCUCGUAGGCGGCCUGUCGCGUCGGUUGUGAAAGCCCGGGGCUCAACCCCGGGUCUGCAGUCGAUACGGGCAGGCUAGAGUUCGGUAGGGGCGAUCGGAAUUCCUGGUGUAGCGGUGAAAUGCGCAGAUAUCAGGAGGAACACCGGUGGCGAAGGCGGCUCUCUGGGACGGUACUGACGCUGAGACGCGAAAGCGUGGGGAGCGAACAGG
rnacentral:rRNA from 1 species